rnacentral:rRNA from 1 species
GACUCUUGGCAAUGGAUAUCUUAGCUCUUAUCAUGAUGAAUAACAUAAAUAAAUGUGAUACUUAGUGUGAAUUGCAGAAUCUCAUGAAUCAUCAAGUUCUUGAACACAAUUUGCACCCGAGGCCUCGGUCGAGGGCACGUCUGUCUGGGUGUCA